rnacentral:rRNA from 1 species
AACGAACGCUGGCGGCAUGCCUAACACAUGCAAGUCGAACGAGACCUUCGGUUCUUUUUUCGCGGGGGUGCGUGAGUCGUGGGAACCUGCCCUUAGGUUGAGUAUCACGCCCCGAAAGUGUUGCUAAUACCGUAUAAUUUUGUCUGACCAGAGAUUUAUCGGCUUUGGAGGGUCCUGGGUUUGGUUAGCUAGUUGUUUGGGUAAAGGCUGACCAAGCGGACGAUCAGUAGCUGGGCGGAGAGGAGGAUCAGCAACACUGGGACUGAGACACGGCCCAGACUCAUACGGGAGGAAGCAGUGGGGAAUAUUGCACAAUGGGCGCAAGACUGAUGCAGCAAUGCCGCGUGAGUGAUGAAGGCCUUAGGGUUGUAAAGCUCUUUUAUCCGGGAUGAUAAUGACGGUACCGGGAGAAUAAGCGCCGGCUAACUACGUG